UGGUCAAGUGGAUAGAGCAAGGAGAAUUUUUGAUAUCUUGAUGAACAAGGGCAUUGAGCCUGACAUCAUUAGCUAUAACAUACUAAUAAACGGAUACUGCAAGAAAAAGAAAAUAGCUGAUGCUAUGCAAUUGCUUAGUGAAAUUUCGCAAAGGGGAUCAAAACCUAAUACUGUUACAUACAAUACUAUCUUGCAAGGUCUGUUUGAAGUUGGAAGAAUUGGUGAUGCAAAACAAAUUUAUGCCGACAUGCUAUCUGUGGGGCCGAAACCUGAUAUAUGCACUCAUUCCACUGUGCUUGAUGGUUAUUUUAGGUAUGGACUUGUUGAAGAAGCUUUGUCACUCUUUAAUAAGUUGGAAAGAAAGCGAGAAAAUACAAAUAUUGCAUUUUACACGGUUGUCAUUAAUGGAUUGUGCAAAAAUGGUAAACUGGAUGAAGCUCAUUCUGUUUUUGAGAAGCUUUCUUUGAUCGGAUUGCCUCCGAAUGUGAGAACAUACAAUACAAUGAUAACUGGAUUUUGUCUAGAAGGAUUGUUAGAUGAAGCUAAAAGUAUGCUAAGAAAAAUGGAGAAGAAUAGUUGUUUGCCAGACAGUGUCACUUACAAUGUGUUUGUGCAAGGAUUUCUCAGGUGGAGCAAAUUUAGUGAAAUGAGAAAUUUUAUGAAGGAAAUGACUGAUAGGGGCUUCUCUUUUGAUUCAAGUACAGCUAGAUUUUUGGUAAACGUUGUAAGGGAGAAUCCUUCUGUCCUUGACAUGAUACCAGAGCUUCGCUCGGAAAAUAAGUAUUGAAUAUUUGUUUUGGUUGUUUUAUUCGUCGAUGCUAUCGCUGUGAUACAAUUUCCUUUCAUCCCUGCAAAAGGAAUGGCAUCCAAUGCAAUUGCAAAAGGUGAUGACAGAUGGAGCAUUGCUUGAGCUUUCUAGGCAGCCGUAUUGAGGAGGUACAUCAAUUUUGAUUACUCUUUUUUACCAUUCUUCUUUUUCUUAGAAAUCAAAUGUUAUUGCACCCUUAAUAUGAGAAAAAAUGGUGACCAAUAAUGAUCUUUUUAAAAAAGGAAUAAUGGUUGAUGCAGGGCUUGUUGCUAGUACUGGUCAUAACAACUGCAUUUGUGACUUGCUUUUCUUAAACUCUUUUCUUCCAUGCCGGUGUCUCUAACGUCGAAAUUUAUGUACAAUUAGAGUCUACAUGUUUAGAGAUGUUACAACAAGCUUUGGUUACGAUUACAUCAUUCAGCAGUAGUUUUGCAGUUUCCUGGUGGCUUUGAAAUCUUUUUUCCUGGUUUCUAACUUGGUGGUCUAAUCUUGUGUAACUUGGAAUCCAAUGUCAUGCCUAUUGGUCAAUCACGGAUUCCUUGUGGUUCGUAUUAAAUACCAGAGAAUGAGCAACGAUGUCCUGAUUGAGGGUCAAUAUUGUAUGAAGAUAAAUUGCGUGGUAUUGCACUUUUAAGGGAGAAUCCUUCUGUCCUUGACAUGAUACCAGAGCUUCACUCAAAAAAUAAGUACUGAAUAUUUGUUUUGGUUGGUUUAUUUGGCUAUGCUAUCGCUGUGAUACGAUUUCCUUUCAUCCCUGCAAAAGAAAUGACACCCAAUGCAAUUGCAAUAGGUGAUGACAAAUAGAGCAUUGCUUGAGCUUUCUAGGCAGCCUUAUUGAGGAGGUACA